UACGUAGGCAGCAAGCGUUGUUCGGAAUUACUGGGCGUAAAGAGUGUGUAGGCGGUGCUCUAAGUUCGGUGUGAAAUCUCCUGGCUCAACUGGGAGGGUGCGCCGGAAACUGGGGUGCUGGAGCGCGGGAGAGGAAAGCGGAAUUCCUGGUGUAGCGGUGAAAUGCGUAGAUAUCAGGAGGAACACCGGCGGUGUAGACGGCUUUCUGGACCGUAGCUGACGCUGAGACACGAAAGCGUGGGGAGCGAUCCGG
rnacentral:rRNA from 1 species